GACGAACGCUGGCGGCGUGCUUAACACAUGCAAGUCGAACGGAAAGGCCUCUUUCGGGGGGUACUCGAGUGGCGAACGGGUGAGUAACACGUGAGUAACCUGCCCUUGACUUUGGGAUAACUUCAGGAAACUGGGGCUAAUACCGGAUAGGAGCUCCUGCUGCAUGGUGGGGGUUGGAAAGUUUCGGCGGUUGGGGAUGGACUCGCGGCUUAUCAGCUUGUUGGUGGGGUAGUGGCUUACCAAGGCUUUGACGGGUAGCCGGCCUGAGAGGGUGACCGGCCACAUUGGGACUGAGAUACGGCCCAGACUCCUACGGGAGGCAGCAGUGGGGAAUAUUGCACAAUGGGUGGAAGCCUGAUGCAGCAACGCCGUGUGCGGGAUGACGGCCUUCGGGUUGGAAACCGCUUUCGCUCAUGACGAAGCUUUGUGUGACGGUAGUGGGUAAAGAAGCACCGGCUAACUACGUG
rnacentral:rRNA from 1 species